rnacentral:lncRNA from 1 species
AGAAUACCUUGUGAAGACACAGACACAGAGGCAAGACGGCCAUUUGAAGGCAGAGGCAGAGACUGGAGUGAUGUACCUACAAGCGAGGAAUGCCAAGGAUUGCCAGCAACCCCCGGGAGCUGGAGAGACAAGGAAGGACCCUUCCCUGGAGCCUUCAGAGAGAGCAUGACGCUGUCAACACCUCGAUUUAAGACUUCCAGCCUCCGGAAUGAGCCCAAAAGUCCCAUCUAGUUUCAGUAUCAAGCUCAAAGCUGAGGAUCUCAUGACAGCCUCUAUGUUAGAGAAUGAGGCGCAGUUUCAUCGGUCUGGAGUAUGGCUGCUCUUGAUCUGGAAACUAGUGGACUAGAAAGGAACUUGAAAGUGGGACUCCACAAGCAACUGACAGAAAGACAGCCUCACCCUCAUCAACCACCAUUCUUGCUCCUCAUCUCACUGGUUCUUCAGAAGAGGGGACUCGAGCAUCGGGAAGGGAGUUGGACUGCUGGCCCCACGCUUCUUCCCAAGUCUGUUUAAUCAACUAUUCUACUUAUUCUUUCAUUUGUUCAGGAAGCAUCCAUUGGUCUGUGAUUUGUAAGCACUUCAUGAUAUUUCAUGAAAUCUCUACAUUCCAUCCAUUUGGCUUGCUGGAAGUUCAGUGACCCUGAGUCUGGAGGCAGGGGGUUAUUAUCACCUACAUUCUACAGAUGUGGAAACUCAGGCUCAAAAAGGUGGGGUAACUUGCCCAAAGUCUCAGCUGUAAAGUGGGAAACCGGGAAUCUAGUUAAGUCUGUCUGAAUCCAGAGCUCCUGCAUUUUCCUCCUGGAGCAGGGUAUCGCUCCUUCUCCCAUCCACAGGCUUGGGGUUGGUUUGGGGUCGGUUGUAUGGUGGUGGUGGUGGUGGCCAUAUGGCACAGGGAGGAAGAACACCAUGCUUCUCAGGUAAUACGGAGGAUAGUGCAAUAUGCAGACGUAGACACAAGGGGGCAGAGAGCCACAGGGCACACAGCUCCCCUGGCCGGCGCUGGGUAUGGUUCUUGUUUCUUGCUUCCUAUACUUUUUUUUUUUAAUUAAGAAAAGGAUGUGUACAACUAUUAAAUAUAUACCUGAACUAUAAAUGUUUCAUAAUAUGCUGCAAGAAAUAGUGGAGGAAUUGAAGAACGUAAAACAAAUGUGGAGAGGAAAGAAUGAGAGCAGUGACGUCUCAACACGGUACAAGGCAAAGAGUCACUUAAAAUUGCUUUUUUCUUUUUUUAUGAGUAUGGUGAUUUAGAUGAAACAUUGCAACAAUUUCUUACUCAAUGGUAUUUUAAUUCCUACCUUUCUUUUUUUUGGGAAAAAAAUUAGACCUCUUUAAAUUAUUUUUACUGGAGGGAAAAAUAUCUUUAAUUAUGGAACAGGAAGGGAAUAUAAUCUCAUUUUAUAGGAAAGAAGUCUGCAUGGAUGGCGUUUUAUUUUAGUCUUUCAGUAUUUUAGAAUGUUAGUACUCAGACUUGAAGUCAUGUUGUGUUUCUACAACUGUAGGCAGAAAUAGGCUCAUCUCUUGACAUUGCCCGCAGAGUGAAUGGAGUUAAGGCAAGAGCCGGAUCUGGUGUAGCUGGUCCAGGGAGCCCCCUUGGGGCCCUCACUUUACAUGAUGUGAAGUUCAGUAUGUCCACGGCCUACAGGAGAAAAUAAUUUUGGCUUUUUUUGAAGGAGUCUGGAACAUGCUUUCAAAAACGAAGACUCUCCCACUUAAACCACAUGGAAAUCUGAAGCAUUCUAUUUUGUGUGCUGUGAUUAUUGGUCACUGAAGCUUCAUUACUGAAAAGAAACACCCAGCAGAGCAGGAGCCAAGCGUUUGGUCUGGUGAGAAAUGAGGGCCUGAAGCUGUCAGCUGCAAAAUGGAAGGGGGGCCCGUGGCAGGGCAGUACCUUCGUGCCCUGUAACUCAGAACCAGCAAAGGGGGCCAAUGUUUUGCUUGUUUAAUCCCUUAUUAAACUGGACUUCAUCUCCAUAUUGAUCGCCUUCCGUGCAGGUGAAUGGAUACGUUAGGAGUGUAUUGUUCUGAUCAGUCCUGGUUGUCUAGCGAUAUAUCCACUGAUACGGAUAAGGCCAUCCCUCAUAACCCUUGUUGGAGCCAUGCUCCUCUGCAUCAUGCAGACACAUUUCCUUGGCAAAGAAGACCGGUGUUUGAUGUUCAGAAAUGAGAGAACCCAAGGAGCCUCAGCUCUUUGUGGAACACACUGGGGAGAAGUUAUGAGUAAUAAAGUGGGUGACAUGAGGGCUGAAGUUUAAGAACUCCUGUGGCAGUUUGGUUGGGCUCAGUUGGAGGGUGUGGGAGGAAUGUGAUGGGGCUGAACCCAAAUUAUGGAGGAAACUUCAUCAUGCCAGACCAAGGAGGAAGUGAGGGAGUCAUUGAGUGGCUUUAAGCAGGGAAUAAUAUGACCACACUGGAGGUGGAAAGGCUGGCGGUGGGGAGAUCAAUUCAGACCCUCUUGCAACAAUCCAGGAGUGGUGGUACCUUGGAUUAAGGGACUAGAGGAGAGAAGGGGCUGGACAAGAGCGCUCAGGAAGGUGGACUUGAUGACCACUAGCUAAUGGGAUUUGAUGAGGUGAUGCAUGUGAAGUGUUUAGCACAGUAUCAGGCCCACAGGAAGUUACUGAUAAACAGCAGCUGCCAUUGUAUGGGCGGACAGGAGAGGGAGCCGUUACAGAGGAGGGGAGCCUUGAACAUUCUACAGUGCAACCCGACCCAGGAGUGGUGGAAUCAGUUAGUCCGAGACAGAGGAUCACAGGAGUGAAUGAAGCCCGCCACUGCCUCACAGCAGAUCCUAAUUCCUGAGAGGACCUCCUUCCCCCUCACACCCCGCAAAGACAGCUGCAGAUUCCUCAGAAAAAUCUUCCCACUGUCCAAUGGGCUUCUAUCCUUUUUCCUUUCUCCCCAUCAGAGCAGCUUGCCAGGGUUCAGCCCUGCAGUGGACAAUCCAAUCUGAACAUGGACGUCUACAGCUUAACGGGUUACCCACCGGCCCAGCUGUUGGCCGUGCUCACAGGGUAACUCGGAAGACAGUUGUUGUGUGAGUGCCUGUGUGCUCUGGGGAGGGAUGCCAGAGUGAAACGGGGCAUGAUAAUCAUCCUGACCUCAAGACACAGUGCCCUUACCCUUGGCAAAAUGGCUAACAAUCCUAGAGUGCCCAAGCAAGUUUACAAACCCUUCAUAGGCACGACCUCAUGUGAUUUCUUCAUCACUUGCUUUUCCAAGUAUGUAACAGGUUUGUAGAAAGCAGCUGUGGAUUCUCUUUGGCUUUCAUUCUAGAAGUUUCUCUCUUCCUGGUCAAAGAGUCACAUGACCUGACUGUAACUGGGGCAGGGUUUUUGGGUGCUUGUGUGACUCUUCUGGGGUCUGCAUGUUACUGGAAGGGUGCUGGAGCCUGCAGCUUUUGCUGGUUUUCUACCUUCAUGGAGUCUUUCUUGCCCCAGCUCCGGACAGGGUCUGAGGCUUCGUUAGAACUCAAUGGUGCCCAUUGUGGGGACUUCUGGGCCAGUGGGGGAUCACAGGAAGGACUUACCGAGACUGGGGUGGAAGGUGUUUUAUUGACCACCAGAAAUGAGUCAGGAAUGUCGUUUCCAAUCUGUGGCAGGAAAAAUGGUUCCCCCUCCUUGACUGUAUCCCCUUGAUUUUUGUGGUCCCUCAUUUCUGAUGUGGGAGACCUUGGUUACUACUGCUAAGUAAGGUUGAAGAAAAAAAUUCAAAAUGGCUAGACACGUAAAGUAGCAGUGCAUUUGUGCCCUUUCUUGCUAUUCUAGCAGUCUGCGGCUUCCCCAAGGCAAGUGGCAAAAGCCAGCCAACUGGUGGCUUUGGAAGGGCACCUUGAGGGAGUCUUAUCAAAGCUACAGCCCGAUGUGCUGUGGCAGGUAAAUAAGUUCUGUUCUUGUUGACCGACCAACUGAAGUCCUUAGAGUUAGUGGCUGAAACCACACCCUUGAGAACCCAGACAGCCACACUGCAAGGACACAGAGUCCUUUGGGGCUCAGACUUUCUAAUAAUACAUUUUCUCAGCGGUACCUGGAAAUUAAGCAUCCUUGUUUGUUUCACUGGAGACAGCGGGCCUCCUUUCUAUUUUCCCUCUGCUUAGGGUGGGAGUGAUUUCCUCUUCACUUGCUUUUCCAAGUCUAACAGGCUUCGAGAAAGCAGCUGUGGAUUCUCUUUGGCUUUUGUUCUAGAAGGUUCUGUCUUCCUAGUCAACAAGACACAGGCCCAAAUUUAACUGGGGCAGUGUUGUUGGGUCUUCUGGGGUCUGCAUAUUACUAGCCUAACCCUAACUAUAGUGGCCACGGUAGGCUGGCAUGUGAGACUCAGAGGCACAUGGAAAACUGAGUAAUCGCCCUGUCAGUAGCAGGGGCAUCCCUAGCAUCAGACUUCUGUGUCUGUAAUUGAGCAGAGUCCAGAAUGUUUCAGGGAACCCAUUCUGGGCACGAAGGAUUUUCAUUUGCCUCCUAGUUCCUGGAUCAUCUUGGUCAGAGGAGGAAACUGUCCCAUGAGACUCAUGCAGAGUCUGGGGCCAUGGACCUUUGUGUAAAGGCAGGCAUAACUCACCUUGCAGUCUUUUCCCUGGAAUAAACUUGUCUUCCUGAGUUAAUCUCAGAUAAAGGGCACCUCGAUUGAUUUCCUCUCUGGAAUUCCAGUCGCUAACACUAGAAAUAUUAUCCCACCAGGACAUGCUUUUCCCUCUACAAGAGAGGCAGUGUGGGGGAGCAGUUAAGUGCAUGGCCUCUGGAGCUGGGUUCUUGGCCCAGCUUUGUCACUUAAUAGCUGUGUGACUUUGGGUAAGUUGCUUAACUUCUCCAUGUUCCUGUUUCCUCAUCUGUAAGAAGGGGAAAGUAAUGGUGUACAACUAUGUUAGGUUUGUAAUGAGGAGAAAAUUAGUUAACACGCAUCAAGGACACAGAACGGUGCCUGGGAUGUAGUGAAGUGCUACAUAAGGGCUUGUUGUUAUUUUUCACUGUUUGAAACCAGAGCAGAACGUGAAAUAAAAGGUUGUCAUACUGAGCGGCCUGGGUGGUGACAGUCUUGGUCUAGGAGGCAGGAGCGGUGGUCUCUCUGAUCACGGUUCCCACUAAGUGAUGGGGUAACUGAAUCAGUGAGAGCUGCAGUUCCUUCCUUUUAGAAUAAGGUGGUGAUAACAACCCAUGUCCGUCAGCUGAUGACUGCAUAAACAGAAUGCGGCCUAUAAACACAAUAGAACAGUAGCCAUAAAGAUGAAUGAAGUUCCCAUACAUGCUACAUCACGAUGAACCUUGAAGACGUUAUGCUAAGUGAAAGAAACCAGACACAAAAGGACUUGAUUUCACUUAUAUGCAAUAUCUAGAAUAGGCCAAUUCAUAGAGACAGAAAGUAGAACUGAG